rnacentral:rRNA from 1 species
UACAGAGGACCCAAGCGUUGUUCGGAUUCAUUGGGCGUAAAGGGUGCGUAGGUGGCGCCGUAAGUCGGGUGUGAAAUUUCGGAGCUUAACUCCGAAACUGCAUUCGAUACUGCGGUGCUUGAGGACUGGAGAGGAGACUGGAAUUCAUGGUGUAGCAGUGAAAUGCGUAGAGAUCAUGAGGAAGACCAGUGGCGAAGGCGGGUCUCUGGACAGUUCCUGACACUGAGGCACGAAGGCCAGGGGAGCAAACGGG